GGGACCACACCUCAUCAUCCUUACCACCCUCACUGCUGUCAAAGGUAUACUGUGUCUGCACCUGGAGACAUCACUCCCAGGUCAGUGUAUCUCUGGGGAUGAUGACCCUGCUGCAGAAAAAUGGACCGUCACCAAGGCCUGAGAAGAUCCACUGAAGAUAAGACUGACAAGGUAUUUAUGAACUGAUGUCUGUAGGAAUUUGGACUUCAUAUUGUUCUUCUCUGGUAACAUGAUCUCGUGAGAAAUUAAACUGUUUCAGAGACGGCAGAUUCCUGAAGAAUGGCGACUGUGUCUCACAAGGCUUACGAGAUAUUUCAAGCGAGGCUUCACACCCUUGUUCCUCUGUUGCUUCUUAUUGUGUGGGCUUUGGAAGGCUGCUGGCAUAUGCUCUCCAUAAUCUCAGCUACUGGCCUACAUUCCUAUGGUCCUGACGCUCAUGGGCAAUAAGAUCAGCUAUGGGAUCAUUUUACUAAAAUAAGUCUGACUGU